GCUGCGAUGGCCGAGUGGUUAAGGCGUUGACCUCGAAAUCCAUUGGGUUCGCCCAGUGCAGGUUUGAACCCUGCUCGCAGCU